rnacentral:rRNA from 1 species
UGCUAGUCGUGCGAAUCAGAUUCGCGGCAGAUAGCUCAGUAACACGUGGCCAAGCUACCCUUCAGACCAGAAUAACCUCGGGAAACUGAGGCUAAGACUGGAUACGGUAUGCACGCUGGAAUGCGGCAUACUCCAAACGUUUCGGCGCUGAAGGAUGCGGCUGCGGCCGAUUAGGUAGACGGUGGGGUAACGGCCCACCGUGCCAAUAAUUGGUACGGGUGAUGAGAGUCAGAGCCCGGAGACGGAAUCUGAGACAAGAUUCCGGGCCCUACGGGGCGCAGCAGGCGCGAAACCUUUACACUGCACGCAAGUGCGAUAGGGGAAUCCCAAGUGCGAAGGCAUACUAGCCUUCGCUUUUGUUGACUGUAAGGAGGUCAACGAAUAAGAGCUGGGCAAGACCGGUGCCAGCCGCCGCGGUAAUACCGGCAGCUCGAGUGUUGUCCCAUAUUAUUGGGCCUAAAGCGUCCGUAGCUGGCCGCGCAAGUCCGUCGGGAAAUCCACCUGCCCAACAGGUGGGCGUCCGGCGGAAACUGCGUGGCUUGGAACCGGAAGGCUCAGAGAGUACGUCCGGGGUAGGAGUGAAAUCCCGUAAUCCCGGACGGACUACCGAUGGCGAAAGCACUCUGAGAAGACGGAUUCGACAGUGAGGGACGAAAGCUAGGGUCUCGAACCGGAUUAGAUACCCGGGUAGUCCUAGCUGUAAACGAUGCUCGUUAGGUGUGACUCCCACUACGAGUGGGUGUUGU